rnacentral:rRNA from 1 species
AUGCCAUCGCCGCUGAGGAACAUGCCGGCGGUGGCCCCCGCGGCGACGGAGUGCCGGCUCAGCGGAAAAGCGGGUGCCAAGCAAGGCAUCAUCCGCGGCAAUGAUCACAAGUGCUUCGUGCGCCUGCACGGCGACCUGAUCGUCAGCUACCGGAUGCGCGCGGUGGGAGGGUCCAAGAGACCCACGCUCCUGCACGAGGAGGCUCCCAAGAAAUUCGACAAACUCUUUGAGCUCUUCGAUCCCGACGCCUUCUUCCAGAGCUACCUGGCCUGCCGCGACGCCAUCCACCAGAUGCUCGCGCAGACGCCGCUCGUCGGCGAGUUCGACCUCGCCCCCGAUAACUGGGACGACUUCCUGCCCCACGAUCUGGCCACUUUCACGGUGGGCGCGGCUCGGCGCGACGCCGAUGAACAUGGGAGAGUCGACCUUCGCUACAGCGUCGACAUCGAUCUCACCAUCUGGGUGAAGGUCUUCUACAGCGAGCCCAAGGCGCUGCUCCUCGCCUGCAACCAGCGUGCCGCGGUGACACGGUGCCUGUUCGCGGCGACGCCGACCGACUGCUGUGUGUGCAUGGAGGAUUUCGUGGCGCCGAGAGACAGCGACACCACCGUGAGGCUGCCGUGCUCCCACGCCUUCCACCGCGCCUGCAUUUUGCCGUGGCUUUACAAGGCGUCCACAUGCCCAAAGUGUCGCCAUGGCUUGGCCAAGUACCUUGAUGCCGCCACCGACACACCAAUGGGGAAGUUCCCAGGCCUCCCCAAACCUUCCUGA